CCUCCUGCCGGGGCGACUCCUGCAAAGGGGAGGGCGGGGAGGCGCGCGCGCCGAGAAGUGGGGAAAAAGUUGCUCGUUUUCUCGGGGCUCCGGAGGGGUCACGGGAGACCCGACACGCUCCCCGGCGGCCUUUGGGGUUUGAGGGUUCAGAGCUACAUCAGAGGACUCGGCCCAGGAGUCUGCGGGAGACGGUAUUUUAAGAAUCCUACCGUCUGGGAAGAGCGGUAUUAGAAGCAGAUACUUCCCCAGGUACAGUCUGUGAAAGUGCUUUUUCAAAGUCGUUGGAAGUUACAAAUGGGUAAGCAAGCACCUCCCUUCCAACUGCCCUUAAACCUGGUGGUGACUGCAUGACCUUCCUACCCAAGAAGUCAGCUGAGGAGGCCUCUAGGGAAGAUUGGAUCCUCUGGUGAAAGAGAAUGGCUCUUUUGGACACAUUCUUGAAGGAUGAGAUGUUUGGAGCUGUAGCAGCCUUCUUACAAUGAUGAGGGGAAUCACAGAGACAGAGCCCAGCACUCUAACAUAGUGGAGCUACAUACCUCCUUUUG